rfam:Bacillus enclensis strain SGD-1123 genomic scaffold Scaffold1, whole genome shotgun sequence.
CCCGUGCUACAACCGCUCAGAACAGGUCUUAAAGUGUGGAGUGAUCCAGCACCUGUGAUUGGCGAGUCUGAGUUUAUUA